rnacentral:tRNA from 1 species
UAUAUGUUAGUGUAUCAGCAUAAAAAGUUUUGAUCUUUUAGGUUAUGGUGAAAUUCCAUUACAUAUAU